rnacentral:piRNA from 1 species
AUUUGAUAAAUAACUGUAGAGAUUCCCUCA